rnacentral:rRNA from 1 species
GGAGGCUACCGCUAUUGGAGUUCGAUUAAGCCAUGCGAGUCGCGAGUCUUAGGGACUCGGCGUACCGCUCAGUAACACGUGGGUAACCUGCCCUAUGCUGGGGGAUAACCUCGGGAAACUGAGAAUAAUACCCCAUAGUUCACCACGCCUGGAACGGUGGGUGGACCAAAGCUCCGGCGGCAUAGGAUGGGCCUGCGGCGUAUCAGGUUGUAGGGGGUGUAAUGUACCCUCUAGCCCUCUACGCGUACGGGUGUUGAGAGACAUCGCCCGGAGAUGGAUUCUGAGACACGAAUCCAGACCCUACGGGGUGCAGCAGGCGCGAAAACUUGGCAAUGCGAGAAAUCGUGACCAGGGAACUCCAAGUGCAUCGGGUAAGACCGAUGCUUUUCUUGACUCUUCAAAGGUCUUGGAAUAAGGGGUGGGUAAGGACGGUGCCAGCCGCCGCGGUAAUACCGGCGCCCCAAGUGGUAGUCGCUUUUAUUGGGCCUAAAACGUCCGUAGCCGGUCUGGUACAUUCGUGGGUAAAUCAACCAGCUCAACUGGUUGAAUUCUGCGAGCACGGCCAGACUUGGGACCGGGAGAGGUGUGGGGUACUCUCAGGGUAGGGGUAAAAUCCUGUCAUCCUGAGGGGACCACCUGUUGCGAAGGCGCCACACUAGAACGGAUCCGACGGUCAGGGACGAAGCCUAGGGGCACGAACCGGAUUAGAUACCCGGGUAGUCCUAGGUGUAAACGCUGUGGACUUGAUGUUGGGGGCGCUCCGAGCGCACUCAGUGUCGAAGCGAAGGUGAUAAGUCCACUGCCUGGGGAGUACGGUCGCAAGGCUGAAACUUAAAGGAAUUGGCGGGGGAGCACCGCAACCUGAGGAUUGUGCGGUUUAAUUGGAUCAACGCCGGG